rfam:Ochotona princeps cont2.75589, whole genome shotgun sequence.
GAGAGCAGCUGUCAGCGGAGCAGGAAGCCGGCUAUUAAGGAGAAACAAAAGUGUCAUUAGGAGCCCUGCUGUCAUUGUGGAUUGAGCCUGCCUGGAGAGCCGGGAGGCAGGCUCAGGAGUGUGGGGCCUCCACCUCUGGGGUAGCUGGAACAGCUGGAGGCCUUGGCAGUGAGGAGGCCUAAGG